CUGGCCUAAAGGAUGGUGAGAAAUGAACUCCUGGUUGCCGACCAGACUUCCCCUUCUCAUCCCGACGACGCGGGACAUAGGGUAGACGGUCCCAAUGCCGACGAGCAGUAGGAGGACCAGCACAGGAGCUUGCAAGCAAGAGCCCAGAGCAAGAGCCCCUCUCCCCUGGUGUCCAAGGAUGGUUCUGCUGACCCAAGGGAGGAACACAAGAAGGGAAGCUUGAGAUGCUACAAACAACAAAAUGGCACCCUGUGUGCAAAUCCUGGUGAGUGCACUUGUGGGUGCUGCAGCCACAGGCUCUGGAAGACACCCCUGCCUGGGCGAGCCAUCCAGUCCUUCUCUUGCUGUUGGGGCCUGGAUGCUCCAGCAGGGGCAUUGGGCUGGGGUGACUCUUCUUUGCUCUGACUUGAUGUGAGCCCAGUGGCUGCUUUGGAAGUGUCACCCUCAGGGGGUUUUGGUUGGCCUAAGAAUCAAUAUUUAUAGGGUGUCCUGCAUUGUGUGUUUUCUAUUUGUAAUUCUCAAGCAUGGCUCCCAUUUCACUUAGUAUCCAAAGGAGUAAGAAAUCCUCACGUUGGAUUCCAUGAACCUAGGAACCCCAGUGUCUUCUGAACAGCCUUUUCCUCUUUGUGUUCCCAGCACACAAACUGUUAGAAAGAUUUAUGUUAGAAUCCACCCAGCAUCUGCUACCCAGAGCCUAAUUUUGCCCUCCCUCUGAACUGAAUUUUUAAGUUUUAAGUCAAAUACUCGCUGAUGUUUGCGCUUCC
rnacentral:lncRNA from 10 species